CAGCAGUAAGGAAUUUUGCGCAAUGGGCGAAAGCCUGACGCAGCAACGCCGCGUGAGUGAUGAAGGCUUUCGGGUCGUAAAGCUCUGUCAAGUGGGAAGAACCCACAGGAUGCCAAUACCAUCCUGUGCUGACGGUACCACUGAAGGAAGCACCGGCUAACUCCGUG
rnacentral:rRNA from 1 species